GCUGCUUUUCCUCAGGGGGGAGGGCGGUGCAGCCCGCUCGGCCGCGCGGCGCCGCCGGGGGCGGGAGUGCAGUGCUGUGGCGGCCGGCAGGGGGCGCUACUGCGGGAGGGGGGGGCGUGUCAGCCCCGCCGGCCGGCAGGGGGCGCUGCGGGCGGCGGGGCUGAGGGGAUUCCUGCCCCCGCGUCCCUCAGUGCCGGUGCCGGCGGGGAGGCCGCUGACAGAAAGGGCUCCCGGCGGUGCUGCGGCCUGGCGUUCCCCGCCGCCACGGGCUCCUGCCCGCCCUCGGCUCCGCUCCCCGCAGAUGCGGAGCGCCCGCCGCCGGCCUGGCCCGGCCCCGCCGCGUGAGCGCCCCGGAAGGCGGCCCGCCGCCCUCCCUCUUCCCCGCCGCCAGCGCGCCUGAACACCUUCGUGCAAAAGGCAACACGGAGAGUACCCAGGGCGCUGCGGUGUGUUUAUGGCUAAUCAUGAACUGUAGCAAACCGGUAAGGAGGUUUAAAUUAGUCUGAGUUAAUAGACUGAGCUGGAUGGCAACCGGCUUAAAAACCAAGAGGCGCCGGCAAAGCGAGGCAGGCAGGUGAGCGGAGCGGAUCCCGCAGGAUGGCAGCCGCCCUGGGAAGGGUCACUCACAGGUGGUGCAGUAGCCCCUUGGCAGCAUGAGCACGGGUGCUCUUGGAGAAAACCAGCUAAAGAUGAGUUAGCUCAAAGAUGUGGCUGCCAACAUGUCUCGAGAGACUGGAGGUGAAGCGCAGCAGUCUCAAGGUGCCCAACAGUCACAGGGUGGUACCGGUUCCUCUUCCAGUGGGUCACAGAGUACUAGUCAGUCUUCCUCAAGUUCUGGCACCCUCAGUUCUUUGGACACUGUUCCCACUCAGGAGCUUCCAUCGAUCCCUGAAGACCAGGAAUCUGAAGAGCUUGUUCCUCAGCCUUGGGGUCGACUCUUUGCACUUGGAAAAGGUUUCAGCAAUUGUGACUGUGUGAAUGAUGAAUACUGGUUUGGAAGAGACAAAAGCUGUGAUUAUAGUUUUUCAAAGCUAGGAUUGUCUGAGACUGGCUUCUACCAAAACUAUAGCAAGAAGCAUUUCCGAAUUUUCAGGGAAAUGGGUCCAAAAAAUUCCUACGUUGCCUACAUUGAAGACCACAGUGCAAACGGAACUUUUGUUAAUAGAGAGCUCGUUGGAAAAGGGAAGAGGCUUCCACUGACUCACAACUCUGAAAUUGCACUGUCUGUACAGAGUAAUAAGGUGUUUGUAUUUUCUGAUCUUAUGGUGGACGAUCAGUUGGUGUUUCCUAGAGAACUCAGAGAGAAAUAUAUCAUGUCAAAGACUUUGGGAAGUGGUGCCUGUGGAGAAGUCAAACUGGCAUUUGAGAAGAGCACUUGUAACAAAGUUGCAGUAAAGAUAAUCAAUAAACGGAAGUUCGUGGCAAGUGGUAUUAGAGAGACAAAUCCGGCUUUUAAUAUCAAUACAGAAAUUGAAAUUUUGAAGAAAAUAGAUCAUCCUUGCUUAAUCAAGAUCAAAAACUUCUUUGAAGCAGAGGAUUACUACAUUGUUUUGGAACUGAUGGAAGGAGGAGAAUUGUAUGACAGAGUGUCAAGGCCAAUCAAGAUGAAAGAAGCUACCUGCAAGUUGUAUUUUUAUCAGAUGCUGCUGGCUGUAAAGUAUCUUCAUGACAAUGGAAUUAUACACCGAGAUCUAAAGCCAGAGAAUGUGCUACUUUCAUCUUCUGAAGAGACAUGUCUUAUAAAGAUUACAGAUUUUGGACAAUCCAAGAUUCUUGGAGAAACUUCUCUUAUGAAAACAUUAUGUGGUACUCCCACGUAUCUUGCUCCUGAGGUUCUAAAUUCACUUGGGACUGCUGGAUACAGCCGAGCUGUGGACUGCUGGAGUUUAGGAGUUAUUCUUUUUGUAUGCUUGUGUGGAUAUCCACCAUUUAAUGAGCAAAAUACUCGACUAUCUCUGAAAGAUCAGAUCACUCGUGGAGAAUAUACGUUCAUUCCAAAAGAAUGGAAGCAUGUAUCAGACAUGGCUCUGGAUCUUGUGAAGAAACUGUUAGUAGUGGAUCCAAGCAAACGUCUUACAACAGAGGAAGCUUUAGAGCAUCCUUGGCUUCAGGUGAUGUACACUGCCUGCUCGGAAGGCCAACAUCCAAUAUGUUCAGUUCUAGAUAUCUCACACCUUGAAUACUACCACCAAAAGAGCUCCUUGAGUCCUGUUACUGUGAGUAGUGAGAAGGAGUUACUGGCUCCCCACUCCCUCUUGUGUUGUCUGUAAGUAUUGUCUUUAAAAGUUAGUAUGGAAAAACCACAGCAGACGUGUACUUUAUGUGUACGGCUAAUGCCCUCUCUAAGGAUUCUGGGUCCGCUAGGGAACUCUUCAGAUACUAAAACUAAACAUGUUCUCAAAACAAAACCUAAUUCCUUCAGCUUUAGUUAAACCAGUAGUGCUUUCAAAUUAGUGUUUUAAAUACCUGUGCUGUUUACUCUGUUCUUUGUUUAAAUCUAAAACUUUAGAACUUAGUGGGCUGCUUAAACCUAAGUACUACUCAGUGGAGAUGUCUUACCUCUAUUUACCAGGUACUUAAUAAAACAUUUUUCAAAGGCAUAUAAACAAUUAAUCGCUGCUUCUGCCUCUGAAAACUUCACUGGGGUCUUUUGUAUGGGACAAGACUAGUUGGUUGCAUGCUGAAGAAAAAUUCAGGUGUCUGUUAUAUAAAUGGAAAAAUAUUUAUCUUAUCUUGUCCAUCAACUCAAACGUAGCCACAGUCUAAACAGGUGACACUGGAAAACACAGACAAGUCCCAAUUCUGUAUAAAAUAAACUGGAUGGUCACACAUCAAAGGCUUUUUGUAGCACAUAAGAACAUAUUUAAACAAAAAAAGGAGACACUGCAAUACUCCAUAGCUUAGAAAAAGAACACCCUCCCCUGCCUUCACCCAAAAAACCACAGUUAAAACAUUUGAAAACCUUAGGAGCUCAAUGAUCCUUAUUUCUAAUUGUCCCUAGCAGCGACUGACCUGUUCACUUUUCUUUGAGUUUCCCAAUCUUUGCUGUGACAAUGGAACAAAAUUUUACAAGCUGUUAGCAUCAGCAAGUUGUUGAGAAUAAAUGUGUGGGUUUGUUUCUAGGUAAGUGGUUCAGUUGGUGCACACACAGUCACUGUUCAAAGCUCGGCCAAAGGAGAUGAUCCAUAUUAAAUCACAAUGAGCAGCAUACUUCAUUUAGUCCUGCAAAAGAUUAAAGACCUGAUUUCAGACAGGGAGUAUACUGUGCCAACUGACCAUCUUGUUUGCCCCGAUUUCCUGUUCCCUGGCGUUGCCCACGUAUACCAAGAACACCCCGAUCACUGGCAGCUGAACCAGAAUGAGGUUACGUGCUUUUUCUCUUGAAACACGCCUGAUUUUAUGCUAAACUAGCUUCUCUCAAUGAAGUGUCUCUGCUGCCCUGUGCUGUCCUCUCCUCCUCUUCGUGCUUCUGCAGCCAGGCCUGUUUAUGCACAGCUGAGACUAUUAAGUCCACUUCUUUCCCUCCACUAAUGGCAGCUUCUGGCUUCCCACUGCAGGUAAAUAGAGAAUGAACUGUACUAUCCAGUGACCUUCUGUAGUGAUACGAAUGCUCUAUGAAUAAUAUAAUAUUUGUUGACAUUUACUUGUGUUUUCAAAAGGGAAACUUCAGUGAAAUGCUUGCCCAAACUCUGAAUGUUUGCUUUCCAAAUGUUUCCAUUUAAAACUUUUUGUAUGUUCUAUGGACUUAUUUAUGUUAAGGAUAACCGUGGGGUGUUUUUUAAGAUAACGUUUUGUUUGAAAGUUUGGUGUGGGGGGUUGGAUUUUUUGAUUGGUUGGUUGGUGUUGUGUUUUUUUGUUUUGUUUUUUAGGGUAUGGGUGUUUUAGCUGGUGGUUCUCUGCCUCCUGUGUACGACAGGUUUGCUUUUGGGGGGGGUGGUAAUGAAAACUACCCAAGUUUGAGAUAAUGGUGAAGCUGAGCUAGUGGAAAUGAAAACAUGCUGUUAGAAAGGGAAGUCACUAUGAAUACAGAAUGUAAGACUAUAAGGAAAAUACUUGUUUUUCGAGAGCAAUUAACUCUUGUUUUGGUGAAAGCAGGCUGCAAGUCCUGAUGAGGCCUCUUCUGAUAAGGCUAAUGAAUUAUCUGCAUGAACUCUUUGUGUAUUCUGUUCUUUCAGUGUUGUUAUACUUUGGUGAAUGAUACUGCAAGUUUGGUUUUAACUUGACUAGUGUUAGCUAAGUAGUUAUUGAAGGGAAACUUUCUUCGUAGAAUGAAACAGAACUGUUUUUUCUUACCAGCGCUGUACAUAAACCACCUGCUUAAAAUUCUACUGUGGGCCAUAUUGGAAUCAUAGAAUAGUUUGGGUUGGAAGGGACCUUUAAAACGUUGUGUAGUCCAACCCCCCUGCAAUGACCAGGGACAUCUUUCAUUAAAUUAGGUUCCUCAGAGCCCCAUCCAACCUGACCUUGACCACUUCCAGGGAUGGGGUGUCUGCCACCUCUCUGGGCAACCUUGGGCCAGUGUUUCACCGCCCUCAUGGGAAAAAAUGUCUCCCUUAUAUCUAGUCUGAAUCUGCCCUCAUGUUGUUUAAAACCAUUACCCCAUGUCUCAACCGCAUCACUCAGCUUGGUGUCACCCGCCAGCUUGCUGAGGGUGCACCUGAUCCCACUGUCCAUGUUGUUGAUGAAGAUAUUAAACAGGACUGGUCCCAAUUCGGACGCCCGAGGGACACCACUCCUCACUGAUCUCCAUCCAGAUAUUGAGGCGUUGACCCCACUAGUCUCUGGAUACAGCCAAUUCCUUAUCCAUCAAAUAGCCCAUCCAUCAAAUCCAGAUCUCUCCAAUUUAGACAGAAGGAUCACUCCAUCAUAGAAAGCUACUAGGUUGGUCAGGCGAGACUUGCCCUUGGUGAAACCAUGUUAGGAAGGUGUUUAUUUGGGGGAAAGUGGAGGAACCUCCUUUUCUCCUUUAUUCAUUCAUUCUUUAAUUGCUGAUCCAUUUCAUUAGCCAAAAUGUAGGCUUUUCCCUUAAAUAUUCCAUAUUCUACUUAAAGUUAACUGCUUUUUUCACAGGAUGAGGAUAUGAAGAAUAAAUUUCAACAGCUACUUGCUCAGACACAUACCAGUAUGAAUCCACCACAAACAUCAAAAAUGCCAACCACCACAGGAAAGCGUCUUCACGAAAACGAGGAAGAAUCGGUCUCUUCUAAGCGUGCCAUUCC